rnacentral:rRNA from 1 species
GAUGAACGCUGGCGGCGUGCCUAAUACAUGUAAGUCGAGCGAACGGACGAGAAGCUUGCUUUUCUGAUGUUAGCGGCGGACGGGUGAGUAACACGUGGAUAACCUACCUAUAAGACUGGGAUAACUUCGGGAAACCGGAGCUAAUACCGGAUAAUAUUUUGAACCGCAUGGUUCAAAAGUGAAAGACGGUCUUGCUGUCACUUAUAGAUGGAUCCGCGCUGCAUUAGCUAGUUGGUAGGGUAACGGCUUACCAAGGCAACGAUGCAUAGCCGACCUGAGAGGGUGAUCGGCCACACUGGAACUGAGACACGGUCCAGACUCCUACGGGAGGCAGCAGUAGGGAAUCUUCCGCAAUGGGCGAAAGCCUGACGGAGCAACGCCGCGUGAGUGAUGAAGGUCUUCGGAUCGUAAAACUCUGUUAUUAGGGAAGAACAUAUGUGUAAGUAACUGUGCACAUCUUGACGGUACCUAAUCAGAAAGCCACGGCUAACUACGUG